AUACGGAAGGCCCAGGCGUUAUCCGGAUUUAUUGGGUUUAAAGGGAGCGCAGGCUGAUGAUUAAGCGUGACGUGAAAUGUAGCCGCUCAACGGAUGAACUGCGUCGCGAAAUGGUUAUCUUGAGUGAGUUCGAUGUUGGCGGAAUGUGUGGUGUAGGGGUGAAAUGCUUAGAUAUCACGAAGAACUCCGAUUGCCAAGGCAGCCAACAAGACCUUUGCUGGCAAUAAAGCUCGAAGGUGCGGGUAUCAAACAGGAUUAGAUACCCUGGUAGUCCACACGGUAAACGAUGGAUGCCCGCUGUUUGCGAUAUACUGUGAGCGGCCAAGAGAAAUCGUUAAGCAUCCCACCUGGGGAGUACGCCGGCAACGGUGAAACUCAAAUGAAUUGGCGGGG
rnacentral:rRNA from 1 species